rnacentral:rRNA from 1 species
AGAGUGAACGCUGGCGGUAGGCCUAACACAUGCAAGUCGAACGGCAGCACAGUAGGAGCUUGCUCUUACGGGUGGCGAGUGGCGGACGGGUGAGGAAUACAUCGGAAUCUACCUUUUGGUGGGGGAUAACGUAGGGAAACUUACGCUAAUACCGCAUACGCCCUUCGGGGGAAAGCCGGGGACCAGCAAUGGCCUGGCGCUGAUAGAUGAGCCGAUGUCGGAUUAGCUAGUUGGUGAGGUAAUGGCUCACCAAGGCGACGAUCCGUAGCUGGUCUGAGAGGAUGAUCAGCCACACUGGAACUGAGACACGGUCCAGACUCCUACGGGAGGCAAGCAGUGGGGAAUAUUGGAACAAUGGGGCGCAAGCCUGAUCCAGCCA